rnacentral:rRNA from 1 species
GAUGAACGCUGGCGGCGUGCCUAAUACAUGCAAGUCGAGCGAACGGACGAGAAGCUUGCUUCUCUGAUGUUAGCGGCGGACGGGUGAGUAGCACGUGGAUAAUCUACCUAUAAGACUGGGAUAACUUCGGGAAACCGGAGCUAAUACCAGAUAAUAUUUUGAACCACAUGGUUCACAAGUGAGAGACGGUCUUGCUGUUACUUAUAGAUGGUUCGGCGCGGCAUUAGCUAGUUGGUAAGGUAACGGCCUACCAAGGCAACGAUGCAUAGCCGACCUGGGAGGUGGACCGGCCACAUGGGAACGGGACCCCGGUCCAGACUCCUAGGGGAGGAAGCGGAAGGGAAUCUUGCGAAAUGGGCGAAAUCCUGACGGAGCAAGCCCGCGGGAGUGAUGAAGGUCUUCGGAUCGUAAGACUCUGUUAUUAGGGAAGAACAGAUGUGGAAGUAAAUGUGCACAUCUUGACGGUACCUAAUCAGAAAGCCACGGCUAACUACGUG